GGCCUUGAGAGUUCCCCCAACCCCUCCAGUAUGACCAUCUCUCUUCUUCUUUUAAUUUGUUCAUCAAAUCUUCUUCUACUAUCUAUUUCCAGGGUGAUUUCCUCUACUGAAGAGUCUGGAGGAACUCUUGGUGCCAC